UGAGAGGGACGCUCGGAGCUCACGCGUCGCGCAGAAGUCAGCAUCUGCUUCCCCGUGUUCCUCCUGCGAGACACAAUUACGCUGCUUAAUUCCCAAAGGAAUUUUGAACUGCCAAUUUGGGUGGAGUAAUUGUGUUCUGAAGCGGGAAAGUGCACCAGAGCCGCCUCACACUGUGUGCAGGAGGAGAUGAGUGGCUCCUCCGCGGCCUGACGGACCAGCCAUCCCCCGAUAUACCCCAGGACCUCGUGGAUGGUGUCCUCCUCAAACGGCUCCUGGGACAGUCCUGAUUCAGUUUGGCUGUGCAGAGGAAUCUAAAUCCUUCAGACUCCUUCCCGAGCCGCCCUGAAAUCCGAAGGAUGCUCCUGAUGGUCAGAAGGAGGCCACGCUGGCAUGGGGGAGUGAAUCUGGACCUGAAGGUCCAAGAUGCGAUCCACUUCAGGGACUCUGCCAGGAGAGUCAAUUGCCGGAAACUCCUUGGACUCAGAGGUCGGCGCCAUGGAUUGGCAUCGGAAAUGGAUCUGAGGGCACAUGAGCCUAGCCUGAUCCUGACCAUCCCAUAAUACUUUGUAGUGGAGCCAAUCUUUGGCGGAAAUACUUGGAUGGCUCGUGAGGCUAACAUGAGCCCAUCCUAUUUACACUUGAUGAAUACUUGACAGUCAUUUUGUAAUGGGAUGAUAGAUCAAUAAAAGUAUUGUUUAUGAAACA